rnacentral:rRNA from 1 species
UUCCGGUUGAUCCUGCCGGACCCGACCGCUAUUGGGAUGGGAUUAAGCCAUGCAAGUCGCGCGUCCCUAGCUAUGAUGGGAAGCGGCGAAAAGCUCCGUAACGUGUAGUUAACCUACCCUCAGGACGGGAAUACCUUCGGGAAACUGAAGAUAAUUCCCGAUAGUUGAUUAGGCCUGGAAUGGUUUUUCAUCCAAAGGUAUCGUCUCAUGCGAUGAUAUCGCCCGAGGAUGGGACUGCAUCUGAUUAGCUUGUUGGUGAGGUAAUGGCCCACCAAGGCUAUUACAGGUACGGGCUCUGAGAGGAGAAGCCCGGAGAUGGGUACUGAGACACGGACCCAGGUCCUAUGGGGCGCAGCAGGCGAGAAAACUUUGCAAUGUGCGCAAGCACGACAAGGUUAAUCCGAGUGAUUCCUGCUAAAGGAAUCUUUUGUUAGUUGUAAAACCACUGAUGAAUAAGGGGUGGGCAAGUUCUGGUGUCAGCCGCCGCGGUAAAACCAGCACCUCAAGUGGUCAGGAGGAUUAUUGGGCCUAAAGCAUCCGUAGCCUGCUCUGUAAGUUUUCGGUUAAAUCCAUCUGCUCAACAGAUGGGCCGCCGAAAAAACUGCAAAGCUAGGGAGUGGGAGAGGUAGACGGUACUCGAUAGGAAGGGGUAAAAUCCUUUGAUCUAUUGAUGACCACCUGUGGCGAAAGCGGUCUACCAGAACACGUUCGACGGUGAGGGAUGAAAGCUGGGGGAGCAAAUCGGAUUAGAUACCCGGGUAGUCCCAGCUGUAAACGAUGCAGACUCGUGAUGCCCUGCUGUGUAGUGCAGUGCCGCGGGGAGUCGUAGUUGCCGCUGGUAGUACGUACGCAGUAUGAACUAAGAUGGCGGGGGAGCACAACAGGGUGAGCUGCGGU